CGUUUUAUCUUUGGGGACGACACGCCAAAACCGAGAACACUACCGGGGCGUAUCUCGUCUUGCGGAAAGAGGCCUCCUCGACUCGGCUAAGUUCUUUAUUUUACAGUUUCCAAUUCACAUUGUAUUUUUCGUUUCUGUUUUUCGAUCUUCUUUCGGGUUGUAUUACGCCCGGUUUAGUGUUUUUCAUAGACAUAUCUCCAACAUUAAGUUCUUUCUGUUCCGAUAUUUGUUCGUUUGAUAUCUGCGGUUUUUGGUGGGGUUUACAAUGACCCCAAUUUUCACUUCGUUGUUGAGGGUUUUAUUGACACGGGUGGAGCAGAGUUGCAAAUGUUUAUGCUCUAAUUUUGCCAUGGAAAGAGUGGGCUGAUUUCUAAUAGAAUUUUGUCGUUCAGUUGUGCAUCUCCAUUCUGAUUUUGAUGUUUCCAUCCUUAUGUUUUUUGUUGUGGUUUUUUAGUGUAUGUUAUAAAAUGCUAUAAUUGCUUGCUUUUUCCUUGGUAAUUGCUUGAUAAUACUAGAAGUGUUGCUUUUCAGUUUUUGUUGUCGAAAGAUUGGGUGGCUAUCUAUUUUAACUACGUCGUUUAGUUGGUGCUUUUUGUAGGUCGAUUUUUGCCAUUGCUGGGACUUGGUUCUGCAUCGCCAUCUUGAUUUUGAUAUUUUGGUCCCUAUGUUUUCGAUUAUGGAAUUUGCAUCAUAUUUGGUAUAGUGAUCUUGCUUUCCAAGGUUUAUAGAAAUCGAAGAAUAUGAUUUGUUGUGGAUCAAAUUUGUUACAUUUAUAUGUGAUAGAUGGAAGUCAAUGUAUUUUUCUAUUUCAAUAAUAUUUCUAUAGAAUGUAAACUCUACAAUAAUUAUUUCAUGAUUAAUGCAAUAACAAGUUGUAUA